UCCCUAGUGGCUCAGACGGUAAAGUGUCUGUCUGCAACACAGGAGACCUGGGUUCGAUCCCUGGGUUGGGAA
rnacentral:tRNA from 1 species